rnacentral:rRNA from 1 species
AGCAGCCGCGGUAAUUCCAGCUCCAAUAGCGUAUAUUAAAGUUGUUGCAGUUAAAAAGCUCGUGGUUGAAUUUCGGGAUCAAUACGUCGAUCGUGCUUCGGUACGUACUGGUGUCAUUGAUUUCUCCCUUCUGACGAACCAUGAUGUCAUUAACUUGGUGUCAUGGGAAACUCGACGU